rnacentral:rRNA from 1 species
GUGUCAGCAGCCGCGGUAAUACGUAGGGGGCAAGCGUUGUCCGGAAUUAUUGGGCGUAAAGCGCGCGCAGGCGGUCCUUUAAGUCUGGUGUCUAAGUGCGGGGCUCAACCCCGUGACGCACUGGAAACUGGGGGACUUGAGUGCAGAAGAGGAGAGUGGAAUUCCACGUGUAGCGGUGAAAUGCGUAGAGAUGUGGAGGAACACCAGUGGCGAAGGCGACUCUCUGGGCUGUAACUGACGCUGAGUCUCGAAGGCGUGGGGAGCGAACGGGAUUAGAUACCCUCGUAGUCC